GCAGUAGUAGUGGCUGUAGCUGCAGUACUUGUACUUGUACUUGUACUUGUCAGUGUGGUGGUCGUGGUCACAUGGAGGAGACUCAGAGUGAAGCCCGACACCAGAAGUGACCCUCCUGCUGAACGUGAAGAGGAAGGGCUUUACUGCAAUGUCACCUACAACACCAACAACCAGAUAUAUGAGGUCAGACAGAGUGAGGAGGAGGAGGAGGUGGUGACCUACAAUUCAGUGAGGAACCCCACUGUGGAGGACCCUGCUCAGCUCUACGCCACCGUCAAAAAAUGAACGACAACCUGGAUGUGUAAAAAUUCUAUGGUGUUUAGCCAAAAUUGAAUAAAAUGAUAAAAUAAAUGAUUAGACAUUUUUUUAAAGAGGCCUUUUUUAUGACUUACUGUAUCUGGUAAUAUUAUAAAAUACCACAAGACAGCAGCUUCAGAACACACUGAUAGAAAUAUGAUAUGAUUUUUGUUUCUAAAGGCAAUUUUUUGUUUUGUUUUUACCCGUAAUUUACAACAGGAGCGUCAGCGAGGCAGAGCUGCAUACACACAUACUUUUCAAAGCUUGAACUUACACCAGAGCUGCUCCUGUGACUCCAGCUUCUGUGUUUUGUCACGUUUAAACACUAAACUUUUUAUGUUGCUUAUGUAUUCAUUGUUGAUUGGAUAAAUUAUGUUUUAAAUGACAAUACAAAGAGACACGGUGCUUUGCAGUGAUAACGAGUCAUAUCUGCGGUGCUGCAAUA